GCAAGUCACCUCCCACGAUCUCUGACAGUCGCGUCGCCUCCCAAGAUCUCUGACAGCCGCCCAUAGGGUGAUGAUGGCCCUGCCACCACCUAGAGGCAUCAUGACAAGCCAAAAAGUCUCCUUACCAUUAAAGAGGGAGACAGAGCUUCUGAUACGAUAUAUAUGGACCUUCACACAAGGAGGAAGGUAAGCUUGCUAUACCUAGUAAAAGGCCAACUGCUUUAUCUCUCUAACCAUGACUGACAAAACCAUCGGAGGGUGUGUCCGGACACCCUGUCCAGACACCUUUUGCAGGGACGACUGAACCAGAACUCUAUCUUGGUUG
rnacentral:lncRNA from 1 species